rnacentral:rRNA from 1 species
CCAGACUCCUACGGGAGGCAGCAGUGGGGAAUAUUGCACAAUGGGGGAAACCCUGAUGCAGCAACGCCGCGUGAGUGAGGAAGUAUUUCGGUAUGUAAAGCUCUAUCAGCAGGGAAUAGAAAAGAAGGUACCUGAAAAAGAAGCCCCGGCUAACUACGUGCCAGCAGCCGCGGUAAUACGUAGGGGGCAAGCGUUAUCCGGAUUUACUGGGUGUAAAGGGAGCGUAGACGGCCGUGCAAGCCAGGAGUGAAAGCCCGGGGCCCAACCCCGGGACUGCUCUUGGAACUGUGCGGCUGGAGUGCGGGAGGGGCAGGCGGAAUUCCUGGUGUAGCGGUGAAAUGCGUAGAUAUCAGGAGGAACACCGGCGGCGAAGGCGGCCUGCUGGACCGCGACUGACGUUGAGGCUCGAAAGCGUGGGGAGCGAACAGGAUUAGAUACCCCCGUA